UACGUAGGGUGCAGGCGUUAAUCGGAAUUACUGGGCGUAAAGCGUGCGCAGGUGGUUUGUUAAGUCAGAUGUGAAAUCCCCGGGCUUAACCUGGGAACUGCGUUUGUAACUGGCAAGCUAGAGUGUGGCAGAGGGGGGUGGAAUUCCAAGUGUAGCAGUGAAAUGCGUAGAUAUUUGGAGGAACACCAAUGGCGAAGGCAGCCCCCUGGGUUAACACUGACGCUCAUGCACGAAAGCGUGGGGAGCAAACAGG
rnacentral:rRNA from 1 species